rnacentral:rRNA from 1 species
UACGUAGGGGGCUAGCGUUGUCCGGAUUUAUUGGGCGUAAAGCGCGUGUAGGCGCCAGGUAGGUCCGCUGUGAAAACUCGAGGCUCAACCUCGAGCUGUCGGCGGAAACCAUCUGGCUAGAGUCCGGAAGAGGAGAGUGGAAUUCCCGGGUGUAGCGGUGAAAUGCGCAGAUAUCGGGAAGAACACCCGUGGCGAAGGCGGCUCUCUGGGACGGUACUGACGCUGAGACGCGAAAGCGUGGGGA